rnacentral:lncRNA from 1 species
GGAAGCUUCCCCUUUGAGUUGGAAAACAUGGAUACACAGUCCUAUGUUUUGACAACUCAAAAAUAAUUAAUUUAGAACCAGCAUUAAGAGACUUACUGUGUGGAUGUACAGGUGCUGAAUUCUUUGCAUUACUGCCCAUCUGACAACAUUAAAAAAUAUUACAAUCACAGAUUUGGCUAAUUAAGAGCAGUCCAGUGUCCCCAUUAAGGGUAAGUGAUUUGGCAGCUUGCAUUUCCAUUUCUGCCAUGUUG